GUGCCAGCAGCCGCGGUAAUACAGAGGGUGCGAGCGUUGUUCGGAAUUAUUGGGCGUAAAGCGCUGGUAGGUGGCUUGUUAAGUCGCGUGUGAAAGCUUCCGGCUCAACCGGAAAAGUGCGCGCGAAACUGGCGAGCUUGAGUGCGGGAGAGGGUCGCGGAAUUCCCGGUGUAGAGGUGAAAUUCGUAGAUAUCGGGAGGAACACCAGAGGCGAAGGCGGCGACCUGGAACGUGACUGACACUGAGCAGCGAAAGCGUGGGGAGCAAACAGGAUUAGAUACCCUCGUAGUCC
rnacentral:rRNA from 1 species